GAUGAAGAACGCAGCGAAAUGCGAUAAGUAGUGUGAAUUGCAGAAUUCAGUGAAUCAUCGAAUCUUUGAACGCACAUUGCGCCCCUUGGUAUUCCAUGGGGCAUGCCUGUUCGAGCGUCAUUUGUACCUUCAAGCUUUGCUUGGUGUUGGGUGUUUGUCCAUUCUCUUGCAGAGGGACUCGCCUUAAAGUAAUUGGCAGCCAGUGUUUUGGUUUUGAAGCGCAGCAUAAGUCGCGAUUCAAAGCUAUACGCCCGCUUCCACAAGCCUUUUUCACUUUUGACCUCGGAUCAGGUAGGGAUACCCGCUGAACUUAAGCAUAUCAAUAAGCGGAGGA
rnacentral:misc_RNA from 1 species